GACGAACCGUGCGAACGUUAUUCGGAAUCACUGGGCUUAAAGCGCGUGUAGGCGGGCCGGCACGUCGGUCGCUGAAAUCCCCCGGCUCAACCGGGGAAGGGGCGCCGAUACGACCGGCCUGGAGGGACGUAGGGGGGCUGGAACUUCCGGUGGAGCGGUGAAAUGCGUUGAGAUCGGAAGGAACGCCCGUGGCGAAAGCGAGCCCCUGGACGUCUACUGACGCUGAGACGCGAAAGCCAGGGGAGCGAACGGG
rnacentral:rRNA from 1 species